AAAGUCGUAACAAGGUUUCCGUAGGUGAACCUGCGGAAGGAUCAUUAAAAAAAAUAUCUUCAUAUUGAAUGUUACAUUCAAAACCCCCUCUGACUGAGUACCUGUACUUGUUGCCUCCGCGGAGUGUUGGCAGAGUGACAGCUCUGCCAAACAAUCCGAUAGGAUGGUUCCGCGGUUGGCCUAUAUGGAAAAUCCUUUGUCUUCUAUGUUUGUUCCAGUCUGAUAAUGCGUUGCGUAAAAGCAAAUUCAAAACUUUCAACAACGGAUCUCUUGGUUCUC
rnacentral:misc_RNA from 1 species